GUUUUUACUCCAAAGCAAGAGUGACAUUUUGUCAACACUUGAUGAAAAGGUUUCUAAAGCAGAUGAAAAAAUUAAAGUCUUGGAGGGCAAUAAAAGUUACCUAGAAAGAAGUGUUAAAGAAAGUGAAGACAAUAUUCGAGAAAUGUUAACACAACGACAAGCAUCAAAAUAACUUUCAUAUGCUGUUUUAGAAUAUUUUUUCAGUUAAUGUCAUUUUUGUAUGUGUAUUUUUCAUAUUUAAAGUAAUUUGCAUCUGUUCACUUACUUUAAAUCCUAAAUAAGAUCUGGUAAUUGCUCACUGAUGCAUUUACAUUUUAUUUGGAAAAAGCCAGGUCUGCUCAAAGACCAUAUUGUAAUUUCAAUUUAUAGAAAAUUCUGUUUUUACUGUAUCGAACUGUGAUCAAGUACAAUUCCACAAAUCGCAUCAACUCGCGCAACCUGUCAUAUCAAUCCCAUAAUGCACUAUAAUUUGGAAUUACAAUAUGCUCUAUGUAAUUAUGAGCUUUGGUCUUAUUUGUGAAAUCGGUGUCAUAGCAUCAUGAAAAAAAAAUUUAAUUAUUCAACAGUUGAUUCUCCAUUAGAUGAGAAUCAAUCAGGCCAGACCCCAAAAACUAUCUUAACCCUUACCCUUGUUGCAGAUUAUCCCCACAAGUCAUGCGAUCAUUUAUCAAUACUAUUUUGAACACUUUAUGGAUGAACUAUGAUUUGUCAUUCAAAUUUUGACAAUUUCUUCAUCAGCUCACAUCUUUUAACAGUACAGGGGUCAUUAUUAUUCUACGCCAUCCUGUUACAUUGGUGUAUGUUAUCAAGAAUGUUAUCUAACGAUAGCCACAUACAUGUACCAUUACUGGCUUUAUCUUAUGUUCUUCCAACAUAUUCUAUGAGACAUACUUGUUGCUCAAUGUUUCUAAUAAAGCUGGAAACGUAAAGUACUAACUUAAA